UUAUCUCUGUUUUCAUUCCUAUUUUCGUGGCAACUUUUUAUUCCUUACCUUUCCUUACUUUCCUUGUUCACUAGUAGAUAUGAUUUUACGUAUCAAAUUCGAAAAAGAAUUUCUCUGUUUUUUCUUAUAAUAUUUAUUUUUUUGGAAUGAAAAACAAGAAUAUCCAUAUGCUGAAGUAAGCUUUAUUGUCAGCAAAGCACCAACCUUAGGCAUGUAUUUCUUUGUUUGUUAGUUCAUACUAGUUUUUAUAUAUAAUCUUGGCGGCUUUUCUUCCCAUUUUUCAAACAUUUAAUGGCUUUAGGUAAUUCCUUUUUUAUUCAAAACGUAUGAUAUAUAUUUGAUUAUCGUCAUAAUGGGUGUUUACUUUUAAUUUUUAUAUGAAAAUCUCCAUUUUUUAAUUCUUUAGAAUUCAAAUUUGGAUUUUCUUAUUGUACUUGUUAAUGGGGUCUUAUUAUUAUUAUUUUUGCUUUUUGACUAUUCAGAUCAAGGAUUAAAUUCUGGACUAGUGUCUUGUAAAACACUUCCUCCUUUGUCUUGAAUCAAGAAGCAUUGAAUUUUCUGAGUUGAUGGAAUUCAUAUAAAUUGUUUUGAUAUGUUUUGAAAAGACGAGGGAAAAAAGAAACAAUUUUGUUGGUGAAUUAGGAAGGAAGAUAACAUGAUUUUUGCAAAGAUAUUAGAAUCAGAAAAGAGAAAUGUGAUUGUGGGAAUUCGAUUUGAUGGACAUAUUAGAGAGUUGUUGAAUUGGGCUAUUGUAAAAGUUGCAGAACCUGGAGACAGAGUUAUUGCUCUACAUGUUUGUCGUGAUGCCGGUACGUCACUAAAAUCUUACUUGUCCUAAUUGAAUUUUGCUAUGUUUUUGCACUUGACAUUGGAACUUUUAUCAUUUUCAGAUUCAAUUUCAAAUGUUAAAUCAUCGUUGGACACUUAUCUGUAUGAUUACGAUGGCUUAUGUAAUAAAAUGCAGGUUGCUUUUUCUUUCUUUCUUUUUUUUCCUUCCUAGUGAUGGAUACAAUUCAGCUUUCUCUAAAUUGUUUGUCGUCUUUUUGGUAAAUAAAGAAAAACACCGAUGGUGAUUGAUGUGGUUUGUUUUUGGUUGUGAAUUUCAGGUGGAUCUUAUUUCUUUGGUGUCAGAAGGAAGUUCUAUUAGAAGAGCUUUGAUUAGGGAAGCAAAGAACCAUGCUGCAUUAGCUGUUGUAGUAGGAACUAGCAAGCAUAGUACUCUUGGGUAAGUAAAACUAUAUACUUCUUAAUUUUUUUCUCCAUUACCGACAGUGGCGGGGGUCAGGAUUUUUACUAACGGAUUCAGAAAACUCGAGGGCAUUAAAGCUUUCGUCAUGCGCAGCUUUCGGGAGAAAACAGAACUAAAUAAACAAACAAACAAACAAUUUUAGCCUCUGUUUUUUUUGAAUACGUUGUUUAAUGUUUAUCUCUGUUUUCAUUCCUAUUUUCGUGGCAACUUUUUAUUCCUUACCUUUCCUUACUUUCCUUGUUCACUAGUAGAUAUGAUUUUACGUAUCAAAUUCGAAAAAGAAUUUCUCUGUUUUUUCUUAUAAUAUUUAUUUUUUUGGAAUGAAAAACAAGAAUAUCCAUAUGCUGAAGUAAGCUUUAUUGUCAGCAAAGCACCAACCUUAGGCAUGUAUUUCUUUGUUUGUUAGUUCAUACUAGUUUUUAUAUAUAAUCUUGGCGGCUUUUCUUCCCAUUUUUCAAACAUUUAAUGGCUUUAGGUAAUUCCUUUUUUAUUCAAAACGUAUGAUAUAUAUUUGAUUAUCGUCAUAAUGGGUGUUUACUUUUAAUUUUUAUAUGAAAAUCUCCAUUUUUUAAUUCUUUAGAAUUCAAAUUUGGAUUUUCUUAUUGUACUUGUUAAUGGGGUCUUAUUAUUAUUAUUUUUGCUUUUUGACUAUUCAGAUCAAGGAUUAAAUUCUGGACUAGUGUCUUGUAAAACACUUCCUCCUUUGUCUUGAAUCAAGAAGCAUUGAAUUUUCUGAGUUGAUGGAAUUCAUAUAAAUUGUUUUGAUAUGUUUUGAAAAGACGAGGGAAAAAAGAAACAAUUUUGUUGGUGAAUUAGGAAGGAAGAUAACAUGAUUUUUGCAAAGAUAUUAGAAUCAGAAAAGAGAAAUGUGAUUGUGGGAAUUCGAUUUGAUGGACAUAUUAGAGAGUUGUUGAAUUGGGCUAUUGUAAAAGUUGCAGAACCUGGAGACAGAGUUAUUGCUCUACAUGUUUGUCGUGAUGCCGGUACGUCACUAAAAUCUUACUUGUCCUAAUUGAAUUUUGCUAUGUUUUUGCACUUGACAUUGGAACUUUUAUCAUUUUCAGAUUCAAUUUCAAAUGUUAAAUCAUCG
rnacentral:lncRNA from 1 species